UUGGAAUAAUAGUAUUAAUGAAAUUUAACGGAUUUGGCGGCAAGAUAGCCCCUUAGAGGAACCUGCCCUGUAAACGAUGAACCACGAGGGACGUAACUUUCUUUGGUAAUCAGUUUGUAUACCGCUGUUGUCAGUUAGAUUCUUGAGAAUAUUUUCGUUUAUGAUAAUUUCAUUGACUUCAAGUAAAGGUGCAGCUUAUGUGAAAGGUAGAGGUGGGUUACAUUUAUAAGAAUAAAACGGAUAAGAUAAAUGAAAAGAUCUUUGAAGGUGGAUUUAACUGUAAAACUUAAGUAGGUUUGGUGAGAGCUC
rnacentral:rRNA from 1 species